UCACUCCAGCGGUGCAUAUGUUAAAUUUGGUAUGAUACAGAGAAGAUUAGCAUGGCCCUGUGCAAAGAUGACACACAUAUCAUAAAGCAUUCCAAUUUGUUU
rnacentral:snRNA from 1 species